CUCUUACAUUAAGGAGGUUUGUGUGAGUGUGUGUGUGAGUGUGUGUGUGUAGUGAGGAGGAGAGCAGCUGAGCAUUUUACUUCACUUCACUUUUAUAUCAACAACAAUGCUGUCAUUAUCAGUGUUGCUGCUGCUUUCAGCUGCAUUCUGUGGUGUUGGAGGUGUGGAGCUCACUCAGACAGACUCUGUGCUGGUGAAGCCUGGAGAGUCGUUCUCCAUCUCUUGUAAGAUCUCAGUGUCGAGUUAUUGUAUUAACUGGAUACGGCAACCUGCUGGAAAAGCACUGGAAUGGCUCGGAUAUCUGUGUAGCACUGAUAGCACUAAUCUCAAAGACACGAUGAAGAGCAAGAUCAGUCUCAGCCAGGACAAAUCCAGCAGCACAGUUUAUUUAAGAGGACAAAACUUUCAGGUGGAGGACACGGCUGUGUAUUACUGUGCCAGAGACACAACACUACAAACUCACUGAAGCCCUGUACAAAAA